GGCUCAGGAUGAACGCUAGCUACAGGCUUAACACAUGCAAGUCGAGGGGAAACGAUAGAGAAAGCUUGCUUUUUUCUAGGCGUCGACCGGCGCACGGGUGAGUAACGCGUAUCCAACCUGCCCAUCACUUGGGGAUAACCUUGCGAAAGUAAGACUAAUACCCAAUGACGUCUCUAGAAGACAUCUGAAAGAGAUUAAAGAUUUAUCGGUGAUGGAUGGGGAUGCGUCUGAUUAGCUUGUUGGCGGGUAACGGCCCACCAAGGCGACGAUCAGUAGGGGUUCUGAGAGGAAGGUCCCCCACAUUGGAACUGAGACACGGUCCAAACUCCUACGGGAGGCAGCAGUGAGGAAUAUUGGUCAAUGGACGAGAGUCUGAACCAGCCAAGUAGCGUGCAGGAUGACGGCCCUAUGGGUUGUAAACUGCUUUUAUAAGGGAAUAAAGUGAGUCUCGUGAGACUUUUUGCAUGUACCUUAUGAAUAAGGACCGGCUAAUUCCGUG
rnacentral:rRNA from 1 species